rnacentral:rRNA from 1 species
AUUGAACGCUGGCGGCAGGCCUAACACAUGCAAGUCGAACGAGUGGCGGACGGGUGAGUAAUGUCUGGGAAACUGCCUGAUGGAGGGGGAUAACUACUGGAAACGGUAGCUAAUACCGCAUACCAUCGGAUGUGCCCAGAUGGGAUUAGCUAGUAGGUGGGGUAAAGGCUCACCUAGGCGACGAUCCCUAGCUGGUCUGAGAGGAUGACCAGGCACACUGGGAAUGAGACACGGGCCAGACUCCUACGGGAGGCAGCAGGGGGGAAUAUUGCACAAUGGGCGAAAGCCUGAUGCAGCCAUGCCGCGUGUAUGAAGAAGGCAUUAGGGUUGUAAAGUACUUUCAGCGGGGAGGCGUUACCCGCAGAAGAAGCACCGGCUAACUCAGUGCCAGCAGCCGCGUAAUUC